rnacentral:rRNA from 1 species
AUUGAACGCUGGCGGCAGGCCUAACACAUGCAAGUCGCACGAGUGGCGGACGGGUGAGUAAUGUCUGGGAAACUGCCUGAUAGAGGGGGAUAACUACUUGAAACGGUAGCUAAUACCGCCUACUAUCAGAUGGGCCCAGAUGUGAUUAGCUUGUUGGUGGGGUAAUGGCGAACCAAGGCGACGAUCCCUAGCUGGGCUGAGAGGAUGAUCAGCCACACUGGAACUGAGACACGGUCCAGACUCCUACGGGAGGCAGCAGUGGGGAAUAUUGGACAAUGGGCGAAAGCCUGAUCCAGCCAUGCAGCGUGUGGGAAGAAGGCCUUCGGGUUGUAAAGGACUUUUAGGAGGGAGGCGUUACCAAAAGAAUAAGCACCGGCUAACUUCGUGCCAGCAGCCGCGGUAAUAC